rnacentral:rRNA from 1 species
AUUGAACGCUGGCGGCAGGCUUAACACAUGCAAGUCGAGCGGGGGAAGGUAGCUUGCUACCGGACCUAGCGGCGGACGGGUGAGUAAUGCUUAGGAAUCUGCCUAUUAGUGGGGGACAACAUCUCGAAAGGGAUGCUAAUACCGCAUACGUCCUACGGGUGAAAGCAGGGGAUCUUCGGACCUUGCGCUAAUAGAUGAGCCUAAGUCGGAUUAGCUAGUUGGUGGGGUAAAGGCCUACCAAGGCGACGAUCGGUAGCGGGUCUGAGAGGAUGAUCCGCCACACUGGGACUGAGACACGGCCCAGACUCCUACGGGAGGCAGCAGUGGGGAAUAUUGGACAAUGGGGGGAACCCUGAUCCAGCCAUGCCGCGUGUGUGAAGAAGGCCUUAUGGUUGUAAAGCACUUCAAGCGAGGAGGAGGCUACUCUAGAUAAUACCUAGGGAUAGUGGACGUUACUCGCAGAAUAAGCACCGGCUAACUCUGUGCCAGCCGCCGCGGUAA